rnacentral:misc_RNA from 1 species
AGAGAUUAUUUGAAUUAUUUUUACAGUUUUUUAAGUAAGUUUUUUUUUAGAGUUUGAUAAAAUUGUUUUACUAUGUAUUUUAGUGUAUUUGACAAUACUAGUUUAGGUACGCGGAAAUCGCGAUUUACGGAACCGAUUUUUAUGCUAAAAUUUUGGUUCUCGUUUUUUUCACUCUUUUUUAUGCAGCGUGAGGCAGAUGUAGUUUUAAGUAGUUUCUUUUUAGAAACAUAUAUAGACAUAGAUACUUUUUGGAAAGAAGAAAAGUUAAUCUUAAUUUUUGAAAUACUUUUAUGUAUGGUUACUAAAUUUUAUUAUGGAAUAUUUUGCUCCUGAAUAUUAAGUUGAUGUUCUCUCAUGAAUUUGUGGUCAAAGAAAUGUAGAGUCUGCUUUUUUUAUUAUUAAAAUAGCUUGUUUCAUGCAUUUUCUAUGCACAUGCCAAAUUUCAACAAAAAAUAAUGAUAAGCAAUUAGUCUAAUUAGUGUUAUACCAAGUAUACCACUUUUUUCAGGUAGCCCUAGGCAAACGGUUUUUUGAGGUGGUUAUUUUUAGAAACAUAUAUUAACCUUGACGACUUUUGAAAGAAGAAAGAUUUGGCUUGAUUUAUAUAAACUAUUGUGUAUUGCUAACAUACCUUUUUAUGGAGUAUUUUGCUAAGAAUUUUGCAUGGAAAUUUGGCUGAUGUUGUAACAUAGAUUUGUAGUUGAAGAAAUGUAGAGUCUGCUUUUUUUAUUAUUAAAAUAGUUUUUUUUAUGCAUUUUCUAUGAACAUGCCAAAUUUCAACGAAAAAUAAUUAUAAGCAAUUAGUCUAAUUAGUGUUGGACUUUAGGUACCUAAUUUCGAUUUUUUUUUUGUUGUUUUUUUUGGUAAGCAAAAUCCGGUAGGCGCCGAAAUCCGGAUAAGGGGGCGUUUCAACUAAAAAUCUUAUUUUGAAUUAUUGUGAUAUAUAUUAUUAGAUUUAAAAAAAUAUGGCAACAUAUAGCAAGAGUGUGUUAGAUGCCCUAACAGAAAAUCCUGCCCAGCUUUUUGUUGAUUUUUUGAGGUUUCUCGAAUCUACACAGCCCAUCACUGUUCCUUCUACAUCUGCUAUAAGGGUUACAUCUUCAGCACCCAGUAACUAUAACUAUAACUAUUCCAUGUGUUCAACCUCCUGCUGUCGAAUCUACACAGCCUAUCACAGCUACAUUUACGUGUUCAACGAAUGUUCCUUCUACAUCUGCUAUUUGUGUUACAUCUUCUGCGGCUUCUAUGACUCUUCCAGGUAUUCAACCUUCUGCUGGUUGGAUACGACUGGGCAGGAAGGGGGGCGUUUGGCGUGGCACAUGUCCCGUCCCUUAUGUCAACUUAUACACCACUUGUAUAUGCUGUAAAUUGAAAAAGUAUUGUAGGGCAAGCAAAAUGUACAUUCGAGCUGUUCGGAUAGAAAAUACAGAGAAAUAGAGAGAGAAAAUUUGUGCUGCCCAUCAUCAUUAAAUGUAAUAAAUUGUUUCAAUGAAAUGCAUAAACCAAAGUCUAACUAUUACAGAUUUAAUUAAAUGUCAUGGAGAUAAUAGGAGCCACUACCAUGCUUAUGCAGGAGAAAACAUAACCAACAGAAUAGUAAGCAAGU